GGCGAGCGUUAUCCGGAUUCAUUGGGCGUAAAGCGCGCGUAGGCGGCCGCCUAAGCGGAACCUCUAACCCCGGGGCUCAACCUCGGGCCGGGUUCCGGACUGGGCGGCUCGAGUGCGGUAGAGGAGAGCGGAAUUCCCGGUGUAGCGGUGGAAUGCGCAGAUAUCGGGAAGAACACCGAUGGCGAAGGCAGCUCUCUGGGCCGUCACUGACGCUGAGGCGCGAAAGCUGGGGGAGCGAACAGGAUUAGAAACCCCUGUAGUCCAGAGAAAGCCCUAAC
rnacentral:rRNA from 1 species